UACGAAGGGGGCUAGCGUUGCUCGGAAUCACUGGGCGUAAAGCGCACGUAGGCGGAUUGCUAAGUCAGGGGUGAAAUCCCGGAGCUCAACUUCGGAACUGCCUCUGAUACAGCACGUCUUGAGUCCGGAAGAGGUGGGUGGAAUUCCUAGUGUAGAGGUGAAAUUCGUAGAUAUUAGGAAGAACACCGGUGGCGAAGGCGGCCCACUGGUCCGGUACUGACGCUGAGGUGCGAAAGCGUGGGGAGCAAACAGG
rnacentral:rRNA from 1 species